AGGACGUCAGCAUCGAAAAUGGUCGAAAUUCCUCGAAGGGAGAUUAUUACCUGUUUUGUCUGCCACCAAUCCCUGGUUGUGGGGUGGUUGUUGGGGAUUGGCGCUUGGGGCGACAGAGCAUGGCAUGAUGCAUGGGUGCUACGAUAACGAGAACCACUGGCUCCAGUGGCUUGAGGUGCUUUAACCCCCAUGGGAUUCGGUGAGUUCCAGGUCCGUGAACUGGCAAUUCAUCCAGAUUUCCUUCCAUGGUUUCAGAUGGGAUUUAUUAGCUGCAAUGCAACAUGAUGACGAGAGACAGAGUG
rnacentral:sRNA from 2 species